UUGAACGCUGGCGGUAUGCUUAACACAUGCAAGUCGAACGGAAACGAUACUAGCUUGCUAGUAGGCGUCGAGUGGCGGACGGGUGAGUAACGCGUAGGAAUCUGCCUGAUAGUGGGGGAUAGCCCGAAGAAAUUCGGAUUAAUACCGCAUAAUCUAUUCGUAGUAAAGUGGGGGACUUUCGAGCCUCACGCUAUCAGAUGAGCCUGCGUAAGAUUAGCUUGUUGGUAGGGUAAAAGCCUACCAAGGCGACGAUCUUUAGCUGGUCUGAGAGGAUGAUCAGCCACAUCGGGACUGAGACACGGCCCGAACUCCUACGGGAGGCAGCAGUGGGGAAUAUUGGACAAUGGGGGCAACCCUGAUCCAGCAAUACCGCGUGUGUGAAGAAGGCCUGAGGGUUGUAAAGCACUUUCAAUUGUGAAGAAAAGUUAGCGGUUAAUAACCGUUAGCCUUGACGUUAACUUUAGAAGAAGCACCGGCUAACUCCGUGCCAGCAGCCGCGGUAAUACGGAGGGUGCAAGCGUUAAUCGGAAAUUACUGGGCGUAAAGCGUGCGUAGGCGGUUUAUUAAGUCAGAUGUGAAAGCCCCGGGCUUAACCUGGGAACUGCAUUUGAAACUGGUCAACUAGAGUAUGGUAGAGGAAAGUGGAAUUUCUGGUGUAGCGGUGAAAUGCGUAGAUAUCAGAAGGAACAUCAAUGGCGAAGGCAGCUUUCUGGACCAAUACUGACGCUGAGGUACGAAAGCGUGGGUAGCAAACAGGAUUAGAUACCCUGGUAGUCCACGCCGUAAACGAUGAUAACUAGCCGUUGGGGGGAUUUACCCUUUAGUGGCGAAGCUAACGCGUUAAGUUAUCCGCCUGGGGAGUACGGCCGCAAGGUUAAAACUCAAAGGAAUUGACGGGGACCCGCACAAGCGGUGGAGCAUGUGGUUUAAUUCGAUGCAACGCGAAGAACCUUACCUGGUCUUGACAUCCUGCGAACUUUCUAGAAAUAGAUUGGUGCCUUCGGGAACGCAGUGACAGGUGCUGCAUGGCUGUCGUCAGCUCGUGUCGUGAGAUGUUGGGUUAAGUCCCGUAACGAGCGCAACCCCUAUCCUUAUUUGCCAGCACAUCAUGGUGGGAACUAUAAGGAGACUGCCGGUGAUAAACCGGAGGAAGGCGGGGACGACGUCAAGUCAUCAUGGCCCUUACGACCAGGGCUACACACGUGCUACAAUGGGAAGGACAAAGAGCCGCGAAGCCGCGAGGUGUAGCUAAUCUCAUAAACCUUUUCGUAGUCCGGAUUGGAGUCUGCAACUCGACUCCAUGAAGUCGGAAUCGCUAGUAAUCGUAGAUCAGAAUGCUACGGUGAAUACGUUCCCGGGUCUUGUACACACCGC
rnacentral:rRNA from 1 species